UGAAUACGAGACGCUAAGGCGUUGAAGUAGUGUAUGUCAUACUUCCAAGAAAAGCUUGCACUGUCAUAGAUAAAAAACGCCUGUACCAUAACCGACACAGGUGGGUAGGUAGAGUAUACUAAGGGGCGCGAGAUAACUCUCUCUAAGGAACUCGGCAAAAUAACUCCGUAACUUCGGGAGAAGGAGUGCCUUAUUUAUAAGGCUGCAAUAACAAGAUCCAAGCAACUGUUUAUCAAAAACACAGGUCUCCGCUAAGUCGUAAGACGAUGUAUGGGGGCUGACGCCUGCCCAGUGCCAGAAGGUUAAAGAAGUUGGUUAGCAAUAGCGAAGCUGAUAACUGAAGCCCUGGUGAACGGCGGCCGUAACAAUAACGGUCCUAAGGUAGCGAAAUUCCUUGUCGGGUAAGUUCCGACCCGCACGAAAGGCGUAAUGAUUUGGAUACUGUCUCGGAGAGGGGCUCGGUGAAAUAGACUUGUCUGUGAAGAUGCGGACUACCUGCACCAGGACAGAAAGACCCUAUGAAGCUUUACUGUAACUUGAAAUUGAAAUUGGACUUUAUUCGCGCAGUAUAGGUGGGAGGCGUUGAUUGUAAUCUUGCGGGAUUAUUGGAGCCAUCAGUGAGAUACCACCCUUGUAAUGUUAGAUUUCUAACUUUGAAUCAUUAUCUGGUCAAAGAACAGUUUCAGGCGGGCAGUUUGACUGGGGCGGUCGCCUCCUAAACGGUAACGGAGGCGUACAAAGGUUUCCUCUGAACGGUUAGAAAUCGUAUCUAGAGUGUAAAGGCAUAAGGAAGCUUGACUGUGAGACCUACAAGUCGAGCAGGGACGAAAGUCGGUCUUAGUGAUCUGACGGUACUGAGUGGAAAGGCCGUCACUCAACGGAUAAAAGUUACUCUAAGGAUAACAGGCUGAUCUCCCCCAAGAGUUCACAUCGACGGGGAGGUUUGGCACCUUGAUGUCGGCUCAUCGCAUCCUGGGGCGGUAGUACGUCCCAAGGGUAGGGCUGUUCGCCCAUGAAAGCGGUACGCGAGCUGGGUUCAGAACGUCGUGAGACAGUUCGGUCCAUAUCCGGUGUAGGCGUUAGAAUAUUGAGAGGAGCCUUCUUUAGUACGAGAGGACCGAGAAGGACAUACCUCUGGUGUACCAGUUAUCGUGCCAACGGUAAACGCUGGGUAGCUAUGUAUGGAGUGGAUAACCGCUGAAAGCAUCUAAGUGGGAAGCCCACCUCAAGAUAAGUAUUCGUAC
rnacentral:rRNA from 1 species